GAUGAAGAACGCAGCGAAAUGCGAUAAGUAAUGUGAAUUGCAGAAUUCAGUGAAUCAUCGAAUCUUUGAACGCACAUUGCGCCCGCCAGUAUUCUGGCGGGCAUGCCUGUUCGAGCGUCAUUUCAACCCUCAAGCCCUCGGGUUUGGUGUUGGGGAUCGGCGAGCCUUUCUGGCAAGCCGGCCCCGAAAUCUAGUGGCGGUCUCGCUGCAGCCUCCAUUGCGUAGUAGUAAAACCCUCGCAACUGGAACGCGACGCGGCCAAGCCGUUAAACCCCCAACUUCUGAAUGUUGACCUCGGAUCAGGUAGGAAUACCCGCUGAACUUAAGCAUAUCAAUAAGCGGAGGA
rnacentral:misc_RNA from 1 species